rnacentral:rRNA from 1 species
CAAGUCGAACGCGAAAACCCCGCAAGGGGUUAGUAGAGUGGCGAACGGGUGAGUAACACGUGGGUGACCUACCUUCGAAUGGGGGAUAACGUCCCGAAAGGGACGCUAAUACCGCAUAACAUCCUGCUUUUGAACAAGUGGAGAUCAAAGCCGGGGAUCGCAAGACCUGGCGUUUGAAGAGGGGCCCGCGUCUGAUUAGCUAGUUGGUGAGGUAACGGCUCACCAAGGCGACGAUCAGUAUCCGGCCUGAGAGGGCGGACGGACACACUGGGACUGAGACACGGCCCAGACUCCUACGGGAGGCAGCAGUGGGGAAUUGUUCGCAAUGGGCGCAAGCCUGACGACGCAACGCCGCGUGGAGGAUGAAGGUCUUCGGAUUGUAAACUCCUGUUGCCCGGGACGAAACGCUUCGACCUAACACGUCGGAGUUUGACGGUACCGGGUGAGGAAGCCCCGGCUAACUCUGUGCCAGCAGCCGCGGUAAUACAGAGGGGGCAAGCGUUGUUCGGAAUUACUGGGCGUAAAGGGCGCGUAGGCGGCCUUCUUAGUCGAACGUGAAAUCCCCGGGCUCAACCCGGGAACUGCGUCCGAUACUGGAAGGCUUGAAUCCGGGAGAGGGAUGCGGAAUUCCAGGUGUAGCGGUGAAAUGCGUAGAUAUCUGGAGGAACACCGGUGGCGAAGGCGGCAUCCUGGACCGGCAUUGACGCUGAGGCGCGAAAGCCAGGGGAGCAAACGGGAUUAGAUACCCCGGUAGUCCUGGCCCUAAACGAUGAAUGCUUGGUGUAGCGGGUAUCGAUCCCUGCCGUGCCGAA